UCCUUAGUGGCCCAAUGGUUAAGACUCUGCCCUUUCAAUGCAGUGGGUGCAGGUUUGACCCUGCUCAGGGAA
rnacentral:tRNA from 1 species